rfam:Arabidopsis lyrata subsp. lyrata unplaced genomic scaffold ARALYscaffold_5, whole genome shotgun sequence.
GUGGCUUUUACAUGAUAUAAAGAUUCAUGCUUUGAAUAUAUGUUUAUAUGUGAAGCUUGUUGUGAAGUGUAAUUGCCUACAUUGAAUUUAGUUUCCCUCGCUAUCCUGUUCUUCAAUUUUCAAUGAUGUUACUUAGGACGUCGGGGAACAAUAUGU